UACGGAGGGUGCAAGCGUUAAUCGGAAUAAUUGGGCGUAAAGAGUGCGUAGGUGGUUUGCUAGGUGAGUUGUGAAAGACUUGGGCUUAACCUGAGGAUGUCAACUCAAACGGGCAGACUAGAGUACAGUAGAGGGUCGUGGAAUUUCCGGUGUAGCGGUGAAAUGCGUAGAGAUCGGAAGGAACACCAGUGGCGAAGGCGACGACCUGGGCUGAAACUGACACUGAGGCACGAAGGCCAGGGGAGCAAACGGG
rnacentral:rRNA from 1 species